UUCAAAAAAUUCUGCUCAUCCUUUCAAUAUAUUGGCUGCUUUGGUUCCAGUUUUCCUUUCUGAGAUGCUGUUAAUUUUUAUUCUCCUUUUAGAUUUCUCUACUUUGGUUCUUGGGUGGUUGGGUACGUGAAUCUUCAAGAAUUUUUAACCAAGUUCUCAACUUCUACUGAUUUCUCCUUCAACCGUUUGCUCAAUGUUGUGAGUGUGCUUUGGUGUUGGUUGCUUUCAUCGUUGCUUCAACUGUCUGUUCUUUUUUCUCGACUUCAGGGCAGGGAGAAAGCAAAAGGGUGCACAAGCAGAUGGAAAAAAUCGGCUUGUUUUAGGAAAGAAAGUCAAAUAUGGAAGUCAAAACUCUUCAGGAGAAAAAACUCACUUCCGUCCUCAUUGCACAAAUGAAGUAAUGGUGUGAUUGAGAUCACGGAUAGGGAACUGCAAACUUACCCGAGGAAAACGAUUACUGAUGGAACUUCUAUUUGAAACCUGGCUUCUUCUCUGCUUUGCCGAAUUUUAAUACUGCUGGAAAAGGUUGGGUUGUGGAGAUGUUGGAAGUGGCUACUUGGCUGAACUGAGUCGAACCAAAUGUUACUUUGCUAUGAAAGUCACACAUAAAGUAGCUGCCACAAAGCAUCUUCGUGCUCAGACCAAAAGAGAAAUUUUACAGUCCCUUGAUCAUCUUUUUCUUCCAUCACUCUACAGACACUGCGAUGCGAGACUGAUAAGUUCUCAUGUUUGGUCAUGGAUUCUACCCUGGAGGGGAUUUCCACACUCUUACGCAGGGACAACCAAGGAAACAUAUUUUUGAACAAGCGGUGAAGUAUAACCUCCUUUCAGUCUUUGGAGUAUGAUUUUCCUAUUGAUACUUUCUGAGUUCCACGUUGAAAAACAAAAAAGAUGUUUUCCUUAGAUGUCUUCUCAGACGAUGAAUUUGAACUAAUUCUGGAGUUAACAAGGCGUAUUUACUAACAAUGGAGCAAUGUGGCAUACCAAAGUGCAAUCGCUCUUGUAGUUACAAGAGGUUGAAUUAUAGCAAGAUAGCAAGAAUGACUUCUUUGCAAUAU